rnacentral:rRNA from 1 species
CAGCAGCCGCGGUAAUACGUAGGUGGCAAGCGUUGUCCGGAAUUAUUGGGCGUAAAGGGCUCGCAGGCGGUUUCUUAAGUCUGAUGUGAAAGCCCCCGGCUCAACCGGGGAGGGUCAUUGGAAACUGGGAAACUUGAGUGCAGAAGAGGAGAAUGGAAUUCCACGUGUAGCGGUGAAAUGCGUAGAGAUGUGGAGGAACACCAGUGGCGAAGGCGACUCUCUGGUCUGUAACUGACGCUGAGGAGCGAAAGCGUGGGGAGCAAACAGGAUUAGAUACCCCCGUAGUCCCUGUCUCUUAUAC